AUACUACUCCCUCCGUUCCAAAAUUCUUGUCUUACAUUUGUCUAUAUAUAAAUGUAUCUAGUCACGUUUUAUUAGUUGAAUACAUUCAUUUUUAGACAAAUAUAAAACAAGAAUUUUAGGACGAAGGGAGUAUGUA
rnacentral:pre_miRNA from 1 species